CGGCAGCUGAAAUGAGAGAGGGUCAUCGGCCGGUGCCACAGAGGACGGGCCCAACCUGGACGCGACUUGGAGGUUGGCGGCGGCUCGAUCCACUCCUGGAUCGGGAGCUGCGACGAGGCUGGGGCUCGGGCGCGUUGUACGGGAGGCUGCACUCCGCCUCUUCCUCAUGGUGCGGCGGACGACGGCUCUUGCGGUCGUGCGGCUGACGGCGGCCUUGGUUUGCUGCUUCGUUAGCUCUUCUUCUUCACUUCCUUAAUUCCCAGGACAACCAUUUUGUUGCUUCCUGUACAAAUAGAGUGUGUUAGACUUUCUCUUUGUUUGUCUCAUCCCCUUCUUAAGUGACUGGUUCCUGCACGGUUAUUGGCUUCUCCAAUGGAUCAUGUAGGUAGAAACUAAAAAGAACUGGAUAAUUUCUUUUUCCCUUCUUUUAAUUUCAAUAGGAUUCCCGAGUUCAGAAUUGACAAUUCAUAUCAGUAUUCGGUAUAGAGCAGAUCAAUUGAUUUUCAUAAAAACGCAUAUUAGAAUUAUCAUUGGAUUGGUUUUCAAGUGCCUUUAUUAGACAUAUAGUGCAGAGGGAGUAAAUUAGUUUCACAGAAUGUUUCCUUGGAUUUUAGUUGCACUUCAUUCUGUUGUUUCGGUCUUUGUACAUUCAGAUGCUUUUUAAUUCAAAAGGAAACAACUCACAGAGGUUAUGUACGGGAGGCUACACUCUGCCUCUUCCUCAUGGUGCGGCGGACGGCGGCUCUUGCGGUCGUGUGCUGACGACGGCCUCAGCGGGUGGGCGGCCAGUGGCGGUGCCAGGGGUUAGCUGUGUAGGCAACUGACUACACAACAUUUUGGCAUGCAUUAGUAGACAUCAAGCAAAAACCAGUUUUCACACAAGCAUAAGUAUUUGACAUCACAACUUUAAAUUGACAUCACAACGUUGAACUCUUGGCUUCGCCACUGUGGGCGACUACACUUGCAGCUGGCGCUCUACCCAUGGAUUCCGGCAUUAGCUCGAAACGCUCAGGACGAAUUAGGUCUCGGCCAAUGGUGGAGAAGACGGAGUACAGGGAUGAGCCGCUCGAGCACUGUUUGAUGGGAUGUUCGCACGCAAGAUGCAGAAGUUCGCCAGAAGGAAGAAGAGCUGGGCGUCGAGGAGGAGAAGAAGGUGGUAUGCGAGGUGCUUGCAGGCCCAGCAGCAGGAGGCCGUCCUUGAGGUGCUCCUGUGGAUGGUCCAUUCCGGCGCUGGGCCUACGUGUUCAAUGCUGCCCUCACCAUCCCCUUCUUCCAUUGGCUCAUCGGCCCGUCAGAGUUAUUGAGGUGGAGGUCAACGGGGUGAGGCAGAGAAGUGGAGUGCUCAUAAAGAAACGAAGGAGCAACUGUUGCUAUUGGGACUGGUGCUUGUGCAGUUGUUGCAGCUGUUCUUGAGGGCCGAGCUGAACAUAUUUGAAAAAGGAUAUUCUGACACCUAAUAAGGAUCAAGAAAACAACAGAGAUGCUAAGAGGCAACCUUUUGGGGUUAAGGAUAUAAACAACAGGGCUUAUGAGACCGAAGAGAGCUCAAGUGGUGUCUUUUGAUUCUUGAAGGCCUGCACUUUCCUGGUGGAGUAGCAACAAAAUAAUUCAGAGGCUUUAAAGCUAAUGCACUUCACGUAGUUAGGAUCAAUUCUUUGUUUCGGUUUGAAAUACUCCCCAGUUCCUCCUAUUUGAUUGAUUCAUCUGAUGGACAUUUUGUCAGGCAAAUAUUAGGCAAAGGAUAUGUACCUUUUUUUAAUAUAGAAGGGUCUAAUUCUUAUCGUGCGUACUUGCUCAAA